UAUGGAAUGCGCUCCCCAGAGAGGGUCGCCAGAUAAAGACCUUUUUAUUUAGCCAUCGAUUUAAUAAUUAAGGAUUUAGAUGGUUUAAGAUCUGAUCACAGUCACAUGUUCUUUCUUUUUUCUUCCUUUCUUCCUUUUCUUUAGUUUUUUUGAAAGUGUUUGUUUUAUGUUGUGCUUAUUAUCUAAUGUUUUAAUUAUUGUUUUAUUGUAUUA